rnacentral:misc_RNA from 1 species
GUAGGUGAACCUGCGGAAGGAUCAUUAACAAAUUCAAACACACUUGUUUCCCUCUGAAGGAAGUGCAAACCUUCUUCAGAGGUGUACACACACACACUUUUGAUUGACGACACACCAAUUGAUACCAUUCAAGGUUAAUCGUAGACAACUUUUAACAAUGGAUCUCUUGGCUCUUGCAUCGAUGAAGAACGCAGCAUCUGACUGACUUCAGUAC